GAUGAAGAACGGCAGCGAAAUGCGAUACGUAAUGUGAAUUGCAGAAUUCAGUGAAUCAUCGAGUCUUUGAACGCACAUUGCGCCCCCUGGUAUUCCGGGGGGCAUGCCUGUCCGAGCGUCAUUGCUGCCCUCAAGCACGGCUUGUGUGUUGGGCCUCCGUCCUCCUCCCGGGGGACGGGCCCGAAAGGCAGCGGCGGCACCGCGUCCGGUCCUCGAGCGUAUGGGGCUUCGUCACCCGCUCUUGUAGGCCCGGCCGGCGCUUGCCGACACAUCAAUCUUUUUUCCAGGUUGACCUCGGAUCAGGUAGGGAUACCCGCUGAACUUAAGCAUAUCAAUAAGCGGAGG
rnacentral:misc_RNA from 1 species